CACAUUUGUAGUCAUCUCUGAUCAACACAUUUGGUAUCCAUUACAGUGUUAGUGUUUGGGAUGCCGUGCACACGUCACGCAGAAAGGAGAGUAGCGAUGGAAGAGGUUUCCAUGGUUACAGCUCGCAAGUUUUUACAGCAUCUGACAGCUCAGGGUGGUAACUGCUAAUGUUACAGAUAACAAGUUUAAUUUGCUCCCUGACUAAGCAGUUAUGUAACGCUGGGUGAUACUUGUAUGUCAGCCAGAGGGUCAUGUGGUUGUAAAAGCAUUUCUGAAGAUGACGGCAUAACUUUAUUGGCUUUUGAUCAUGCAAUUUAUCUGAUUUAUGACCUCUGUGGUUGUUAUUUCCACACAGUUUUAUGGCUUUGUUUUGUAUUCGCACAAAGAAGGUUCAGAGCUUAGGAAAAAUGGAAACAUUUGUCUGUAAUUCUUGACUUUAAUGUUGCAUAAAAUUUGGCCAACAGGGAUAAAAACAUCUAAGACAUCCCUUACCUCCAAAUGUCAAUCUUUAUGCUUGCUGUGUCGAGAAACAUGUGUAACAUGUAACCAAUCAUGUUAAAUAAAUACUUCAGUUUAUAAAUGAAUUAAUGAAUGAUUAACAAAAUGCGUAAAAUCAUAUGGCAUGUUUUGCUGCAAGGGGGAAAUUUGCAUCACCGAGCAACAUAAAUUAGAAUAAAUAAACAAAUAGAUAGAUAAAAUAAAAAGCUCAUGUGGCAUACUUUGUUUUUUGUUCGUUUGUUUUUGUUGUGUUUU